rnacentral:rRNA from 1 species
UACAGAGGUCUCAAGCGUUUGUUCGGAUUCAUUGGGCGUAAAGGGUGCGUAGGCGGCGCGGUAAGUCGGGUGUGAAAUCUCGGAGCUUAACUCCGAAAACUGCAUUUCGAUACUGCCGUGCUUGAGGACUGGAGAGGAGACUGGAAUUUACGGUGUAGCGGUGAAAAUGCGUAGAUAUCGUAAGGAAGACCAGUGGCGAAGGCGGGGUCUCUGGACAUUCCUGACGCUGAGGCACGAAGGUCAGGGGGGAGCAAAACGGG